GAUGAACGCUGGCGGCGUGCCUAAUACAUGCAAGUCGAGCGAACAGAUGAGAAGCUUGCUUCUCUGAUGUUAGCGGCGGACGGGUGAGUAACACGUGGGUAACCUACCUAUAAGACUGGGAUAACUCCGGGAAACCGGGGCUAAUACCGGAUAGUAUUUUGAACCGCAUGGUUCAAUAGUGAAAGACGGUUUCGGCUGUCACUUAUAGAUGGACCCGCGCCGUAUUAGCUAGUUGGUAAGGUAACGGCUUACCAAGGCGACGAUACGUAGCCGGCCUGAGAGGGUGAUCGGCCACACUGGAACUGAGACACGGUCCAGACUCCUACGGGAGGCAGCAGUAGGGAAUCUUCCGGAAUGGGCGAAAGCCUGACGGAGCAACGCCGCGUGAGUGAUGAAGGUCUUCGGAUCGUAAAACUCUGUUGUUAGGGAAGAACAAAUUUGUUGGUAACUGAACAAGUCUUGACGGUACCUAACCAGAAAGCCACGGCUAACUACGUGCCAGCAGCCGCGGUAA
rnacentral:rRNA from 1 species